rnacentral:lncRNA from 1 species
UCAUCUGCUCCACCACCUUCUCCGCCGUCCGCCGCCGUCACCCCUUGUAUCCUCUUCCGUCUUCUCCUUCUUCUGCGUCUCCCCUACCACCACCGCCACUGCCGCCGCCGCCGCGGCCACUUUCUCUCCCCUUCGCACCACCCUCUUCUCCUUCCACUCCUCCGCUCGCCCUCUCUUCCUCUGCAACUCACUCUCUUCCUCCUCUGUCGCAUUUCCUCAAACACCUUCUCCCCAAUCCAUCGAACCACAUUCCAUUCCCCAAGAACAAUUGCUAAACGA